CAUAUUAUUUUCUUCACAUUCAGGUUUUCUCCAUCGUUUCUAUUUAAAAAAAAAUGAAAAACACAUUAGUAAGAUUUUGCUAGAUUUAUUUGGAGGGAGUUUAAGACAGGGUUCCUCUGUGUAGCCCUGGCCGUCCUGGAAUUCAUGCUGUAGACAAGACUGGCCUCAAACUCAGGGAUCCAUCUGCCUCUGCCUCCCAAGUGCUGGGGUUAAAGGUGUGCACCAUCACAUCCAGCUUAAGAUUUUAUUAAUCACUUAUCAGAAGAAGAACUAUCAACUCUCUUCCCUAUUGAGGUCUUUGAGCAUGUCUAGACUGGCGGCUUCACCACACGGAUUGAGGACAACUAUCACAACGGCCCUCAUGAAUGAUUCUGUUAUACUCCCUCCAGGCUAGCAAACACUGAAAGCCUAUGCCACAUUUAUAUACAUACAGUUAGUCACUCUGUUCCACAGUCCUAGUUUGAGUGCUUUCUGAGGACUGGAACUAGGUAUUCUAUAAGAGUAGCAAGUACUCUUAACCACUAAACAAGUUUUCAAGCUCCAGAAAAUUUAUUUUUCAUAUAAUCCUUGUAUCCAUAUUUAGCAGAUAAUUCGAUCUGUGAGUCCUAUGCUGGGAAUGAAAUCUGUAUAUACGAAUAUGAUUUUUAAAAGUGUCACUUCCUGCUGGAUUUUGUAUCCACGAAUUGAAUCCUAACACUUAUCCUAACACUUGCAAGGCAGAGGCAGCUGGAUCUUUAUGACUUUGUUCUACGUAGUCAAUUCCAGGCAAGACAGGUAUACAGUGUGAGACCCUGUCUCAAAACAAACAAACAAACAAACAAACAAACAAACAAACAAACAAACCACCUGUGUUUACGGGGGUUUGGGACAGGGAGGUCUGAUGCUAAGGUCCUUUCCCCCAAUUGGUUCUCGAUCUGUCAGUAAAGAAGCUAUGGACCAAUUGCUCGGUGGAAGGGAUAGGCGGGACUUCCUGUUCCCGAGAGGCAAGCCAACAGAUUCAAGGGAGGAAAGGAGCUGAGGCAGGAGCUCCAGGCGGGAACCCGGAAGUGAAGUGGAAACCAAGAUGGAAUGCUGCUUACUGGAUUGUUACCAGGCAAUCCCUGUGAAAGGUUGACCCCCAAAGGCAUCGAAGCCCAUGGAUUGAGAACCUCUGAUAUAAACAGAUAGAGCCUAACUCCUAAUGCCAUUGUGCCUCAUGCCAAAGAAACAAUUUCUGAGAGGACAGUGGCACCAUAUAUUUAUUACUUCAAGUGAGUGAACAGUCAGCUUAAAAUGUCACUUCAAUUCAACCCAACUCAAGUGGUGCAAGACAAGGCCAGUGACACUGUCACCUUCUGUAAAAGGCCCCAUCCCCUUCUCAUGGGCACAGCUUUCUUCUUUCCUUAAAAAUUUGCCAAGGGUGUCUCUGGCCACGAUGUCUUUUUUCUCCCAGCAGCAUCUACUUUUAUUAAAAUGUAUUUAUCACACCAA